rnacentral:tRNA from 1 species
UGGCACAGCGGUUAAAGCACUUGGCUGCUAACCAAAUGUUGGUGGUUCAAACCCAUC